rnacentral:rRNA from 1 species
UACGUAGGGUGCAAGCGUUGUCCGGAAUUAUUGGGCGUAAAGAGCUCGUAGGCGGUCUGUCACGUCGGGCGUGAAAAUCCAGGGCUUAACCCUGGACCUGCGUUCGAUACGGGCAGACUAGAGUUCGGUAGGGGAGACUGGAAUUCCAGGUGUAGCGGUGAAAUGCGUAGAUAUCUGGAGGAAUACCUAUGGCGAAAGCAGGCUACUGGACCAUCACUGACGCUGAUCUGCGAAAGCUAGGGGAGCAAACAGG